rnacentral:Y_RNA from 1 species
GUCUGGUCCGAAGGUAGUGAGUUCUCACUUGAUUAUUCACGGUCAGUUACAGAUUGAACUCCUUGUUCUACCAUAUUCCCCCCUCCUCACUACCACACUUGCCUAGUCUAAA